rnacentral:rRNA from 1 species
UACGGGGGGGGCAAGCGUUGUUCGGAAUCACUGGGCGUAAAGCGCACGUAGGCGGAUGUGUCAGUCAGGGGUGAAAUCCCGGAGCUCAACUUCGGAACUGCCCUUGAUACAGCACGUCUUGAGUCCGGAAGAGGUGGGUGGAAUUCCUAGUGUAGAGGUGAAAUUCGUAGAUAUUAGGAAGAACACCGGUGGCGAAGGCGGCCCACUGGUCCGGUACUGACGCUGAGGUGCGAAAGCGUGGGGAGCAAACCGG